AAUCUGUGGACGUGGAGAAUGUCCAGCCACCGUCGGCCAAAGAGAAAAUUUUGACAUUGUUCGAUGAACCCUUCUUGCCGUCCGACUUGGAACACAUGUCGGUCGAUGAGCAUUCCGACGAGUUGCCUUUGAGGGACGUCAACCUAUACAGUUUACAAUCGUGUUCGGCGUCUGUCUCUUCACACGCGUUUUUUUCUUCACGAUAUAAAACGGUGUGGUGUGUGGUACAUUUUGUUUUGUAAAAUACUGUGGAGGUAGUUCCUGGAUGAUGGUAUGAAAAGGGAAUUGUGCUUGUUUAAAAUCGUCCAAAAUUAAAGAUAUAAAAAGAGCAAUAUUUCAUUAAGUAUGACCAAAUAAGCACGAUUUUUCGUUUUUUGAAGCACGUUGUUUGUGUAGUAAUAUCGACAGUUUUCCAGAAGCCCCAAAAAAAUGUGAGAUGGCAAAGAGUAAAUCUGACCUUUCUUCAAUAGAAAAAGAUAAAUUUAAACAAAAAAAAAAUUAGAAGACAAAAUAGUUUGUUUAAGUUUAUAAUCAACUAUCAAGUAUGUUUAGUCAAGAUAGUGAUCAAUCUGACAAAUCUGACAUGAACGAAAAUUCAAUAC